rnacentral:rRNA from 1 species
AUUGAACGCUGGCGGCAGGCCUAACACAUGCAAGUCGAGCGGAACGGCGGACGGGUGAGUAAUGCCUAGGAAUCUGCCUUGUAGUGGGGGAUAACGUCCGGAGACGGGCGCUAAUACCGCAUAGUAUCAGAUGCGCCUAGGUGUGAUUAGCUAGUUGGUGGGGUAAAGGCUUACCAAGUCGACGAUCAGUAACUGACCUGAGAGGAUGAUCAGUCACACGGGAACUGAGACACGGUCCAGACUCCUACGGGAGGCAGCAGUGGGGAAUAUUCGGCAAUGGACGAAAGCCUGAUCCAGCAAUGCCGCGUGUGUGAAGAAGGUCUUCGGAUUGUAAAGCACUUUAAGUUGGGAGGCGGUACCAACACAAUAAGCACCGGCUAACUUCGUGCCAGCAGCCGCGGUAAUAC